rnacentral:misc_RNA from 1 species
CUUGCCCGAUUGCCGUGCCUCCUGUUCAUGAGGACAAAAGGGGAGGAUAGAGAGAGAGAGAAACAGAGAAAGAGGAAGAGGACGCGAUCGGGGGUGAGGAGGGAUGCGCUGAGCAUAAACUACCUUCGCCGGGUGGGAGGUAUCCCUCUACCUACUAUGGCUUGAACUCGAGCUUGCGUCGUUCGAAACGCGCGAACGCGUACCGGAGGAUCGAUAUCCGAGGGAGUUACAGGAGCUGGGUCGGUGAUGAUGAGGACGACGGCGCAUGAGGACGCGCGCGUUGUAGGAGCGGAUUGUAUGUUAUAAAAACCACAAGUACAUGUCAUCAUGCCCGAAAGGAAAUCUGUUUUCAAGGUGAGUGGCGCCAACAGCGGACGAUUGGCGAGGUCGUAGAACGAAUUGCCAUCGUGCAGGCGUCCCGCUGGACCGCUCGCAGCAUCCGGGCUGUGCGCCGCCGCCGGCCGGUCCCGCGACGCGCAAAGCGGGAGAUGAGGAUCCGAGGGAUGACGGAGAGAGAGAAAGAGAAGGAGAGAGAACGUUUGAAACGCGAAAUCUCUAACGAGGAACAUUCAGAGCCACGCGAGCGGUCGCGCGACACGGUACGAGCGUUUCAACGCAUGUCGUGUCAACGACAUCACGUUAUGUGUAUCGAGAAACGUACGAGCCACGCGAGGCUCGCUUGUGCCGUUUUGUUUCUCGUGGCAAUUGUUCCGCCAUUCGGACUCUGCCAAAAUGCCGAGGCACGCGGUACAUCCGGGGACAGGAGGAGAUCGGAUCUUUCCGGCGACGAGUCGCGCACCCUGCAAACCCAUCAGCAGUAUAGCCGGGACGCAUCUUCCGAGGGAAUGGAGGUACUCGAGAAAAACAGAAGGAUGCUUUCGUCGCGAGGUAUUAUCAAGGAGCCGGGGGCGAUGGAGAUGGAAGCGAGGGCGGGAACCCGCGGCGAUGAAGGCAACAAGCAUCCUCUUUGGUCGGAAAAUGGUGCGAAAAUUCCGCUUCUUCGGCGAAACGUAAAUGUCACAAGCUUGAACAAGCAACAAGAGGGCAAUUUUGGAAAUCGAACGCGCAAGAAACGCCGCAGAAGUAAGACUUCCGGUGUCGAGGAUCGCGCACACGACAUUACCGAGGAUAGUCGCGAGAACGAGAUAUCAGACAGACGGGAUCAGUCGUCGCGCAAGAGAAAUGAUCCUUCCUCAAAGUCAAGGUCGAGGAGUCGAGAAGCGCGAAAAUCCCGCGCGGAGCGACGAAGACGGAAAAAGAAGGACAGGAAGGGACGUAAUAGAGGUGGCGGAAAGAGCUCGCGACAAAAUGACAAGCGACAGGACGUCGAGGGUCGUUCGUCGAGGCUCGAAGGGAUCGACGAGAUCAAACGCUCCACCGAAAACUCGUCGACCGUCACCGCCGAUCGUUUGACCUCGUUGACGGAAGUUGUCGAUGGUGCUACAACGUCGUCGAGUCUCCAGCGUCAUUCGACGCUUAAGGUGACCAAGAGGCUAACAAGAACGACGCCUCGUCGUAGCGUUUACGUAGCUGACACGGUGGAGAGGGAAUUCUCCAAACAGCUCGAGAUGGAGAUUUCCAAGUCUGCGUCCAAGGAUCCGUCGACUCUCGACGAUGGUAUCUUCGAUAAUUCUCCGAAGAAAUCGACCGGACGAAAUGGCGAUUCGAGGGAAGUCGAUGAGAAAAGCAUGGACGAGGACGCUUCGACGGACGGCAAAAUUGAUUUCGGGAGCUCGCGUUACGACGCCGAGAAGAUGCUGGGCUAUUCGAGGACCAAGGAGGAUCUACCGAUCCUGGAUCUGGAGAAUGAGGUGCUGGAGAGGACGUUGAAGGACUAUAACGCUUACAUGAGGCUGAAACCGGCGUCGUUGUCGCGCGAGCCACCGCCGCCGAUUCCUCGCACCUCCGGUCCUCAUCCGCCGAGAAAGCCGAUAAUUAAUUCGGACGAGAGCGGCGAAGAAACAGGCACGGAAGUCACAAGCACGAUGCAGGACGACAGCACCAACGGGGACUUAUCUUGCAUAAAUGGGACGUUCCUGCCGGCGCCUCUAUCGCGCCACGCUCUGAUCAAAUAUGUAAAGUCCUCGACCCCGGGGCACGAGUAUUUGGAAGCUGAUUACGAGUGUGUGCCAGGCUACCGUAUGGUAUCUUCCACGAGCCGAUUAGUCUGCAGGAGUCGUCAGUGGCUCGGACAGGUGCCAAAGUGCGAGAUCAAGCAAAACCCGGACGGGAUAUGCGCCGAGGCAUUCUGCGAACACGAUUGCAACGAAAUUAACGGCCGUCCCGUCUGCUCCUGCUACGAGGGAUUCAGAUUGGUGGACGGUCACAAAUGCAUCGACAUCAACGAAUGUUUGCUGAACAACGGGCACGGCCCCUGCCAGGACACCUGUCGAAAUCUCGUGGGAGGAUACAAAUGUUCCUGCGAGGGUUUACGGGACGCAUCGCUGGCCGCCGACAAUCACACGUGCGAGCGUGACAAGCACACGGGUCCGUGCAGCGUCAACAAUGCCGGAUGCUCUCACACGUGUUUAUCCACGAUGGGUCGGGUAUUCUGUCUCUGUCCCGACGGUUUCAUCCUCGAGGAUGACUGGAAGACUUGUCAAGAUGUGGACGAAUGCUCGGUGCCGGAUCUUCAGACGGAGUUCUGUCGCUACGGAUGCAUCAAUACCCCGGGUUCCUAUCGAUGCGCGCAACCUAUGGAGCUAAAGGAUCAGCCAGUUUUGGACAGGCUGUCCAUCACUUGCCUGCCGGGUUACGAACAGACUUCCUAUGGAACGUGCAUCGAUAUCAACGAAUGCGCGGUUGAUAACGGUGGAUGCACGGAAGUGUGCGAGAAUACAGACGGUAGCUUCUUCUGUGCUUGCGACGGGGAUGAAAAAGCCCUGUCAUCCGAUGGAAAAUCCUGCGUAGACAUAAAUAGCAUCGCGUGCCCACUGUUAAAUCCGGUCGGUCGUGGUUAUUUAAUAUGUUCCCGAUUAGCCACGUCCAAGUUAUGGCGCGACCGGCGAAAAGUACCCAAUCGACCCGGCACGAGAUGCUUCCUAAAGUGUCCCCGUGGGUAUCAGCUUCGCGGUGAAUACGAGUUGACCUGUCGCUCCGACGGCACUUGGGAUGGAUCGGAGAAAGGAAGAUGCAUUCGAUAUAGCAAGCCUCGAUUGGAGUGUCCGAGGGAUGUCGUGGCCGAAUUGCCGCCCGGGAGGGACGAGGCGUUUGUGACCUUCGAUCAACCGGCGACAGAUCUCGAUUGGUUUCGAUACGUGCGAUCGAGGCCAUCCUGGGGGACGCGUCUCGAGGCCAGCCUGAAGCCCGGAGUGCACGAGAUUACGUUCUUCGCGCGACACCCGGUAUCGAAGAAGCAGGCUAGCUGCGCGUUACGCAUUAUCGUCAAAGCCGGCGAGGCACCGAAAGUCAAAGAUUGUCCGGGGGACAUUGAAGUCGUCGGGAAAAAUGGAACUGCGAUCACGUGGACGGAGCCGAGCUUCACGGAUAACGUCAAGGUGACGCGGCUCAGUAAUAAUGAGAACCCGGGUCGUCUCUUCGACGUCGGCGGCCACAGGAUCGAGUACGAGGCGAGUGACGAGGCUGGUUGGUCGAGCAAGUGCGUCUUCACCGUGGUCCUUCGUCGGGAAUAAGCGGCUGGAGAGACAGGAUCGAGGAUCAGGGACGCGACGGGGAGAGGGAGAGAAGAGGAGAGAAAGAGAGAAAGAGAGAGAGAGAGAGAGCGAACGAGCAGAGAGGGCAAGAGAGAAGCAACGCGGAAGAAUAACGAUAAGGUUACACGUGAAGAAAAGAGACAAAGUGCGGAUAUCUCCCUCCUUCCACACGCGCAACUCCCCUUUACCCUUUCCUCGACAUUCGCGCGAGGUGAUAAAGUUCUUAGAGCAGGAUGGAAGUAUGUCUGACGAGUUUGCUCUCGAUAGUCUUAUCGACUGCCACUUUUGAUAGCGUAACGUAACGAUAACGCAAAUAGUUUGCAUAGAGGAGAAGAUAGGAAACGCACACUUUGCUUCUUAAGAAAAAAAAAAGACAUUUAAAAGCGUCGAAGACCUUUCCAGAGCGAAUAAAAUUAAACGUCUGAUUUUGCGGUUCGAUUUUUGCGAAAUUCGUGCCCUCGCUCCUCCUCUGCGCAAUAUAAUUUUACCUUGUAAUAUAAUUUUUAUCGCAACCGCAGAUGGUUGCACUCUCUCCGGUAGAUAGUAGUACCGCGAAAUGUAACGUAAAUGCGAAAUUCGCGUUAUCGAGUCCCGCUUUACGUUAAACGGAAAUUAACAGCGCGUUAUGUCAUCACCUGCGAGAAUUGCGAACUCAUAUGAUGUAACAUUCUCCAAAUAUUCCGCGAUAAUUAACGAGGCUGUGGCCUUUUCCCACUAAUAAGAUUCUCAUCGAAUACACCGGCUGACAGGUUACAUAA